rnacentral:rRNA from 1 species
UGAGUAACGCGUGGGAAUCUACCUUUUGCUACGGAACAACAGUUGGAAACGACUGCUAAUACCGUAUGUGCCCUUCGGGGGAAAGAUUUAUCGGCAAAGGAUGAGCCCGCGUUGGAUUAGCUAGUUGGUGAGGUAAAGGCUCACCAAGGCGACGAUCCAUAGCUGGUCUGAGAGGAUGAUCAGCCACACUGGGACUGAGACACGGCCCAGACUCCUACGGGAGGCAGCAGUGGGGAAUAUUGGACAAUGGGCGCAAGCCUGAUCCAGCCAUGCCGCGUGAGUGAUGAAGGCCCUAGGGUUGUAAAGCUCUUUCACCGGUGAAGAUAAUGACGGUAACCGGAGAAGAAGCCCCGGCUAACUUCGUGCCAGCAGCCGC